rnacentral:rRNA from 1 species
UCUGGGUCCAACCUCCCACCCGUGUUUAUUUACCUUGUUGCUUCGGCGGGCCCGCCUUAACUGGCCGCCGGGGGGCUUACGCCCCCGGGCCCGCGCCCGCCGAAGACACCCUCGAACUCUGUCUGAAGAUUGUAGUCUGAGUGAAAAUAUAAAUUAUUUAAAACUUUCAACAACGGAUCUCUUGGUUCCGGCAUCGAUGAAGAACGCAGCGAAAUGCGAUACGUAAUGUGAAUUGCAAAUUCAGUGAAUCAUCGAGUCUUUGAACGCACAUUGCGCCCCCUGGUAUUCCGGGGGGCAUGCCUGUCCGAGCGUCAUUGCUGCCCUCAAGCACGGCUUGUGUGUUGGGCCCCGUCCUCCGAUUCCGGGGGACGGGCCCGAAAGGCAGCGGCGGCACCGCGUCCGGUCCUCGAGCGUAUGGGGCUUUGUCACCCGCUCUGUAGGCCCGGCCGGCGCUUGCCGAUCAACCCAAAUUUUUAUCCAGGUUGACCUCGGAUCAGGUAGGGAUACCCGCUGAACUUAAGCAUAUCAAUAAGCGAGAGGA